rnacentral:rRNA from 1 species
GGGUUGUGAGGUUAAGCGACUAAGCGUACACGGUGGAUGCCCUGGCAGUCAGAGGCGAUGAAGGACGUGCUAAUCUGCGAUAAGCGCCGGUAAGGUGAUAUGAACCGUUAUAACCGGCGAUUUCCGAAUGGGGAAACCCAGUGUGACUCGUCACACUAUCAUUAACUGAAUCCAUAGGUUAAUGAGGCGAACCGGGGGAACUGAAACAUCUAAGUACCCCGAGGAAAAGAAAUCAACCGAGAUUCCCCCAGUAGCGGCGAGCGAACGGGGAGGAGCCCAGAGCCUGAAUCAGCAUGUGUGUUAGUGGAAGCGUCUGGAAAGGCGCGCGAUACAGGGUGACAGCCCCGUACACAAAAGCGCAUGUGCUGUGAGCUCGAUGAGUA